rnacentral:misc_RNA from 1 species
AACGCAUAUUGCGCUCGAGGCCUCGGCUAAGAGCAUGUCUGCCUCAGCGUCGGGUUAAUAUCAUACCGUCCGUGUAUGGCUCUCUGGUAUGGACCUGGCUGUUCCAGUGGCUUGACCUGGGUGUGCGUGGGCAAACCUGUAACAGGGGUUGCUACCUAUGCCUGGUCAGUAUCACAGUCGCUGGAUCAGCUGAAGCGCAGAGGCUGAUCAGGGACCCGCUAAGGGCCGCAACUGGGUAGGCAUUUACCGAUGCUACAUCUAGUUGUUGGUCUGGGACUUUGUGUUGGCCCUCCAACAGGAACCUAUUAACCCGUUAUUAUCUCGACCUGAGCUCAGGCAAGAACACCCGCUGAACUUAA